rnacentral:rRNA from 1 species
GAUGAACGCUAGCGGCAGGCUUAAUACAUGCAAGUCGAGGGGCAACAGGGGGUAGCAAUACCUGCUGGCGACCGGCAAACGGGUGCGGAACACGUACAGAACCUUCCUUUAAGUUGGAGAUAGCCCGGAGAAAUCCGGAUUAAUACCUAAUAGUAUUAUGGUGUGGCAUCACAUUAUAAUUAAAGCCUUGGCGCUUAGAGAUGGCUGUGCGUAUGAUUAGGUAGUUGGGCGGGUAACGGCCCACCAAGCCUUCGAUCAUUAACUGGUGUGAGAGCACGACCAGUCACACGGGCACUGAGACACGGGCCCGACUCCUACGGGAGGCAGCAGUAAGGAUAUUGGUCAAUGGACGCAAGUCUGAACCAGCCAUGCCGCGUGAAGGAUGAAGGUCCUCUGGAUUGUAAACUUUCUUUUAUGUGGGAAGAACCCGGGAAUUCUUUUCCGGUUGACGGUACAUAGGAUAAGCACCGGCUAACUCCGUGCCAGC